rnacentral:rRNA from 1 species
CCUACGGGCGGCAGCAGUGGGGAAUAUUGGACAAUGGGCGAAAGCCUGAUCCAGCCAUGCCGCGUGUGUGAAGAAGGCCUUCGGGUUGUAAAGCACUUUCAGUGGGGAAGAAAGCCUUGGGGCUAAUACCCUCGAGGAAGGACAUCACCCACAGAAGAAGCACCGGCUAACUCCGUGCCAGCAGCCGCGGUAAUACGGAGGGUGCGAGCGUUAAUCGGAAUUACUGGGCGUAAAGCGCGCGUAGGCGGUCUGAUAAGCCGGUUGUGAAAGCCCCGGGCUCAACCUGGGAACGGCAUCCGGAACUGUCAGGCUAGAGUGCAGGAGAGGAAGGUAGAAUUCCCGGUGUAGCAGUGAAAUGCGUAGAGAUCGGGAGGAAUACCAGUGGCGAAGGCGGCCUUCUGGACUGACACUGACGCUGAGGUGCGAAAGCGUGGGUAGCAAACAGGAUUAGAUACCCUGGUAGUC